GGAAGCGAUCAUACCAGCACUGAAGCAACGGAUCCCAUUAAAAUUUCAAAGUUAAGCGUGCUUGGGGAAGAGUAGUAUUUGGAUGGGUGACCUUCUGGGAAGUUCUCUUGUUGCAUUUU
rfam:Triticum urartu cultivar G1812 contig1160106, whole genome shotgun sequence.